rnacentral:lncRNA from 1 species
CAGUAAUGCACUCUGCAGUACUCGACCCAAGUCAGGCAACCAGCUCUUCUGGUCUUUUCGCUGGCCACUGUGGUCCAGGUCAACACUCUGGUCCAAACCAUCCUGCACCUGUUUGCCGCAAGCUCACGAAAAGGCCCGAGGACGUUAUCAAGCGACUCCAGGCGAGAAUUUCCAGCUACAGAAAGACGAUAGCCAGACUGCGGAAACAGCCGCUGAAGACGCCUC